rnacentral:lncRNA from 7 species
GAAUUGGGACCGCUUCUCCAGGAGAACCUUACAGAAGAAGAGAAAUUCUACAAGGUGACUGCUUCAUAUUAAAUGAAUCUGAAAAACAACGUCUUGCCUCCUUCAGCCCUUCCAACCUGUCUUUCCAAGUCCAUCAUCACAACCCUUCCUCCUAGGACUGGGAUCACAAUGGAUGCUUCUCUUGCUGGAAAGUUAAUACUUGGGAUGUUCUGAAGACUUGAUACACAGUCCUUCCAGUGGCACAUAAGACAACUGACGACAGCAGCAGCACAGUUGGGCAUGAAGGUUUUAUGCCUAUGUCUGUUCAGAAAUGCCCUUUCAGUUAUGUACUCCCAUAAACUGAAUCAGCAUAUAAAUCUGCACGCUAUGCAAUAGAUGUAUAUGUAGCGGAGGCGCUGGGAUCCAACUCAGGAUAAUGGUGCCAGCUGUUCUUCAGAAUUUGUUGCUGUUGUCUUCCUAGGCUCUUUAAGCCUUCUCAAAUCACGAAUGUAUUAUUUUGGCUGGCAGUCUACAGAGUGCCAGCAUUCUCAGGAGGAGAGCAUUAAAGGAAAGCAGGUAUUCAUCUUGAUAUUGCCAGUUGAAUAAAAAUGAUUAAGAGAACAAACAGUUGAAUUCUGAAGAUGUGUCCCCUGACUGCAAUUCAUUCUUUCUUACAGCUUGUCAACAUCUCGGUUGUGGCCUUUUCUUAUCUGAGAUUUACUGUUUUUCUGAAUAAUGUACACUGAACAAAUUAUACAGUUGGCUUGAAAUGACAUGGAACUUAUCAGUAUAAAUGUUUUCUUCUUUC